rnacentral:sRNA from 1 species
ACUACAUUGCUUAACAAAGGUAAAAAGACAGUUAAGCCCGACUGGGGCAAAUACUCUAAAAUAAUAAGACAACGUCUUACUGUUUACUGUAAACCCGUCCGGCUUGGUUUGAUCAAUUUUUUAGAUAUGGAAAGUAGUAUUUAUGGCAACCGGUACUGUUAAAUGGUUUAACGAUGCAAAAGGCUUUGGUUUUAUCACUCCUGAUGAAGGCGGCGAUGAUUUGUUCGCACAUUUCUCUGCCAUCAACAUGGAAGGCUUCAAAACCCUGAAAGAAGGCCAAAAAGUUUCUUUUGAUGUCACCAGCGGCCCUAAAGGCCUUCAGGCUGCAAACAUCCAGGCGGCUUAAGCAUCCAAACUAGCCGGUUUGUCCGGUUUUAACAGCAUGGCGGGUUUCAGACCUGCCAUUUUUU